UAUUAAGAAAGACUCUAAGCACCAUAACUAUUACAACCUGCUAUAGUGAAUAUUGUGCCAGGAGUGCAUGUCGUUGUCCCAGCGGAAUCUGAAUCCCACUGAGUACCUGUGCUGUCUCCAGUCUUCUUGAGAAAGAGAAGCUGGAUGCUAAUGUAUAUGUUCAUUAAUUGGCUGAGAGUGUAAGCUGAGCUCUCUCAGCCAAUGAAUGGGUUGAACAAAACUACCAUCAGGCUUCUCCAGCCCUGAGAAGACUGGGCACAGUGCAGGUGCCCCACAAGACUCAGGCAAAUGUUAAACCAUGGAAAACCGGUUUUACAGAUUAUACAGGGAC